rnacentral:rRNA from 1 species
AGAGUUUGAUCCUGGCUCAGAAUCAACGCUGGCGGCGCGCCUACACAUGCAAGUCGAACUGGAGAAAGGGAGCAAUCCAUGAGUAAAGUGGCGUACGGGUGAGUAACACGUGGAUGAUCUACCCCUCAGUGUGGAAUAACCCUGGGAAACCGGGCUAAUACCGCAUACUCCGCCCGCUUAAAGGCGGGACGGGAAAGGAGCAAUUCGCUAAGGGAAGAGUCCGCGGCCGAUUAGCUAGUUGGUAGGGUAAUGGCCUACCAAGGCAACGAUCGGUAGCCGGCCUGAGAGGGCACACGGCCACAUCGGCACUGAAACACGGGCCAGACUCCUACGGGAGGCAGCAGUGGGGAAUCUUGCACAAUGGGGGAAACCCUGAUGCAGCGACGCCGCGUGAGCGAUGAAGGCCUUCGGGGUGUAAAGCUCUUUCGGCAGGGAAGAUAAUGAUGACGGUACCUGCAGAAGCAGCUGCGGCAUAAAACUACGUGCCAGCAGCCGCGGUAAUACGUAGGCGCAAGCGUUGUUCGGAGUUACUGGGCGUAAAGCGUGUGUAGGCGGUUGCCUAAGUUUGGUGUGAAAUCUCCCCCACCGCGGCUCUACAACUGGGAGGGUGCGCCGAAAACU